CGGAACUUGGCAUCCUACAUGAUCCGAGGUCAACGUGAGAAGGAGUCUUGAUGGAUUGCCGUCCUCUUUUGCUGAUUGCAUGCGCAAAAAUGUGCUGCGCUGCGAAACCAGUAGGCCGGCUGCCAAUCAUUUUAAGGCGAGUCUUUGGCGGGCCAAAGACAAAAACGCCCAACACCAAGCAAAGCUUGAGGGUACAAAUGACGCUCGAACAGGCAUGCCCUUUGGAAUACCAAAGGGCGCAAUGUGCGUUCAAAGAUUCGAUGAUUCACUGAAUUCUGCAAUUCACACUACGUAUCGCAUUUCGCUGCGUUCUUCAUCGAUGCCAGAACCAAGAGAUCCGUUGUUGAAAGUUGUAAAUGAUUUACAUUUGUUAUACUGACGCUGAUUGCAACUGCAUAAAAAAGGUUUAUAUUGUGGUCCUGGUGGCGAGCGAACCCGCCCAGGAAACAACAAGUGCGCAAAAGACAAGGGUAAUAAAUAGUCCAGCCGCGAACGGCCUUCGUAUUUUAUUGUGUAAUGAUCCCUCCGCAGGUCCCCCUUACCGAA
rnacentral:misc_RNA from 1 species